AAAGAUGUGCACAAAUUAAUGCCAAUUGAGGAUCUUCAGUCCUGGAUCUAUGCUCAAUGGAUCAGACUCAUAGCCAGCAUAUUGAUCAGCUCUCCACUCCCAGCAAAAUGAGCACAUCUAGCAACAGAGGCAUGGAAAGGCAAGUGGUUUCCCCUGCUCAUUUCAAGGCAGCAUUUAGCACCUCUCUAGGGACGGGACGUCUGCCUGUGAAGAGUCAACAUGCAGGUGUUCAAGGCAGAGGUGUUUACUGCACCUGUCAGGAGGUGGAGAGGAUGUGGACUGUCGUGGCCAGAACAAGGACCUCUUGCCUGUAUCAAUCCAGGAUGGUCACAACUCAUGACAAAGCUUACAGCUCUGAAGUCUUUCCAAGAGAGAAGAGAAACCGAACUAGAAGAUGA
rnacentral:lncRNA from 1 species